rnacentral:lncRNA from 1 species
UGUUUUCGAUGAUGGAAUUUUUGAAUCGACGAUCGGCUCCACUAGACUUGAUCUAGCAUAUUUGAAGUAUCUAAAAAAUAAAUUUUGCAGCUUUUCGAUAUUAUUUAUCUAGCGACCGAAAGGGUUCAAAAUCAAUAAUUUUAAAUGGUUUACAUCUACCGUUUAUAAGUUUAAUAGUGUAGAAAUAUCCAAAUCAAACGAAAUUUUGAUAGAAAAUUCUUUAUACUAUUUACAGUAAAAUCAAUAUCUUUGAUCGAAAAAUUUAAUGCUACAUCACCAUUUUUUGUGAGAUUUUUAUUUUCAGCCGUUGAUUUUAAACCCUUUCGAUCGUUAGGUAAGUGAUAUCGAAAAGUUACAAAAUUUAUUUUCUAGAUACAUCAAAUAUGCUAGAUCAAGUCUAACGGAGCCGAUCGUCGAUUCGGAAGCUCCAUCAUCGAAAACGGCUUAGAAGCACGGAGGUCUCCAUGCUCCUAAUAGCACACCAGACCUUAUAUAUAUAU